GAAACAACUGCGGCUCGGGUUCAUCAUAAGGAUAUCAUCAAUAUUUCGCAAUGGCCAAUAUAGAUGAUGUCUUCAUGAUGCUCCGGAGUUGGUCAAUCACGCC
rnacentral:pre_miRNA from 1 species